rnacentral:snoRNA from 1 species
GGCCGUGACGAUAACGGUCUCUCUUCUUUCCCAGUCCGAUUCGACCAUGACGACAUGGGGCUCUACCACGCGGCGCUACCUCCGGGCGCGUCGCUUUUCUUGCCAGUGGUCCACCCUUCAAAAAGGUGGCCUACUAUUACAAGUGUCCGAGCC